rnacentral:lncRNA from 1 species
UAGGGUGCUGCACCCACUUUUAAAACUUCUUGGAUUCCAUCCCUACACCCACUUUCCUAUCAAUUUUUUCUCUUCAGAGAUCUGCUUUCCGGUACUUACACCCAAGUCUACUCCCAUAAGCUGGUAGAUAAGGAGGAACCAAAUCCUAACAUUGUGACCUCUCUAUUUUGUCUUUCGUCAUCAUUAGAGUGGUCAAGGAAGUAUUUCUAGGAACUC